GACGAACGCUGGCGGCGUGCUUAACACAUGCAAGUCGAACGGAAAGGCCCUGCUUGCAGGGUGCUCGAGUGGCGAACGGGUGAGUAACACGUGGGUGAUCUGCCCCUUACUUUGGGAUAAGCCUGGGAAACUGGGUCUAAUACUGGAUAGGACCAUGCUGCAGGUGGUGUGGUGGAAAGAUUAGUUUCGGUAAGGGAUGAGCUCGCGGCCUAUCAGCUUAUUGGUGGGGUAAUGGCCUAACAAGGCGUCGACGGGUAGCCGGCCUGAGUGGGUGGACGGCCACAUUGGGACUGAGAUACGGCCCAGACUCCUACGGGAGGCAGCAGUGGGGAAUAGUGCACAAUAGGCGCAAGCCGGAUGCAGCGACGCCGCGUGGGGGAUGACGGCCUUCGGGUUGUAAACUCCUUUCAGCCAUGACGAAGCCCUUGUGGUGACGGUAGUGGUAGAAGAAGCACCGGCUAACUACGUG
rnacentral:rRNA from 1 species